GGGCACGACACCGGAGAGGGAGCCUGAGAAACGGCUACCANANNNNNNGNUGGCAGCAGGCGCGCAAAUUACCCAAUCCCGACANGNGGAGGUAGUGACAAUAAAUAACAAUACGGGGUUCUUUCGGAUCUCGUAAUUGGAAUGAGUACAAUUUAAAUCUCUUAACGAGGAACAAUUGGAGGGCAAGUCUGGUGCCAGCAGCCGCGGUAAUUCCAGCUCCAAUAGCGUAUAUUAAAGUUGUUGCAGUUAAAAAGCUCGUAGUUGAAUUUCGGGAUCAGAUUGUCGGUCGUGCCUCGGUACGCACUGGCAUUAUUGGUUCCUACCUUCUGAAGAACCGCGAUGUCAUUAAUUUGGUGUCGUGGGGAAUCAGGACUGUUACUUUGAAAAAAUUAGAGUGUUUAAAGCAGGCGCACGCUUGAAUACAUUAGCAUGGAAUAAUGAAAUAGGACGUUUGAUUCUAUUUUGUUGGUUUCUAGGAUCGACGUAAUGAUUAAUAGGGAUAGUUGGGGGCAUUAGUAUUCAAUUGUCAGAGGUGAAAUUCUUGGAUUUAUUGAAGACUAACUACUGCGAAAGCAUUUGCCAAGGAUGUUUUCAUUAAUCAAGAACGAAAGUUAGGGGAUCGAAGACGAUCAGAUACCGUCGUAGU
rnacentral:rRNA from 1 species